CAAUAUAAGGUGUGGAGGCCUUGGCAACCAUCGAGAGAGUGUCCGAUGAGUACAGCAGGCAGAGCAGAUGCAGGCAGAGCAGAUACAGGUAGAGCAUCAAAGCAAAGCAGAGCGUCAGGUAGAGUAGCUACAGAGAGGCUUGAUGUAGCGGUUUACUCCAUAGGAAGCAUCCAAGGGCGUGGAGGAUCCUGAUACUGGCAAGCCUGUGGAGGGUCUCCUUGAG
rnacentral:lncRNA from 1 species